AUAAAGGCAGCGCAGAAAAAUUUUAAUAAUUUUUUUAUAACCGUUCAGUUCUUUUAUGUACAUAUGCACGAGUGUUAUGAAUUUUUUCUUUAUAAUUGACAGCAGACACAAGUUGGGUACAUUCAACAAAAACUUAUUGAAUUGAAAUGUUUAAUAUGCAAAACGCUGGCGGCAGCUAUGCAAAAACCAAUCAGCUUUUAGCCGAUUUGCGUGCAUGCCACUCAAUCGAGAUAUACAGACAAAAAAUCAGGAUAUGCGAGAUUCUUUAAACCAGCGGAUGCUUCAAUGAAGGAGCCAAUGCAUAGAAGAGAAAAUGCCAUGGAGAACUUUUUCAGUCUGUGAACACGAUAAGAAAAUCGCACGGUAAAUGACUGACCAAUGAUACCAAGUCUUACUUCAUGUCAAACUCAACGCUUCAAAAGCUCAGCUGAAGGUUUCUCGGAUUAAUCGGAAUAUUUUA